rnacentral:rRNA from 1 species
CAAUAGCGUAUAUUAAAGUUGUUGCAGUUAAAAAGCUCGUAGUUGGAUUUCUGGUGGGAGCGAUCGGUCUGGCGCUUAGCGCGAGUACUUGCAUCGUCUCCGGCCAUCCUUGGGGAGAGUCUGUCUGGCAUUAAGUUGUCGGGCAGAGGAUCCUCAUCGUUUACUGUGAAAAAAUUAGAGUGUUCAAAGCAGGCCUACGCUCUGAAUACAUUAGCAUGGAAUAACACGAUAGGACUCUGGCCUAUCUUGUUGGUCUGUAGGACCGGAGUAAUGAUUAAGAGGGACAGUCGGGGGCAUUCGUAUUUCAUUGUCAGAGGUGAAAUUCUUGGAUUUAUGAAAGACGAACUACUGCGAAAGCAUUUGCCAAGGAUGUUUUCAUUAA